ensembl:misc_RNA 7SK 7SK RNA
GGAUGGCCAGGCAAGUGUCCCCUCCUCUUUCACUGCUCAUGUGGGUUCCUCAAGGAGGAAGACAAUGAUCUUCCCAUAGAGGAGGACCAUUCUUGGGUCAAGGGGAUCCGAGUAGCUGUGCAUCCUUCCCAGAGCCUUCUAAUAAGCUCUGGGGGUCCAUUAGUGAGGGAAUGUAAGAGAGUUAAACUCCUAAGACUUCCCACACAUGCAAGUGAGGCACUGUAUGUGACAAUAUGACUUCCUCCU